UACGGAGGGUGCGAGCGUUGUCCGGAAUCACUGGGCGUAAAGGGCGCGUAGGCGGCCUGAUAAGUAGGGGGUGAAAUCCUGCGGCUUAACCGCAGGGCUGCCUUCUAAACUGUCAGGCUAGAGCACAGUAGAGGCAGGUGGAAUUCCCGGUGUAGUGGUGAUAUGCGUAGAUAUCGGGAGGAACACCUGUGGCGAAGGCGGCUUUCUGGGCCUUACCUGACGCUGAGACGCGAAAGCGUGGGGAGCGAACCGG
rnacentral:rRNA from 1 species